rnacentral:rRNA from 1 species
UACGAAGGGGGCUAGCGUUGCUCGGAAUCACUGGGCGUAAAGCGCACGUAGGCGGCUUUCUAAGUCAGGGGUGAAAUCCUGGAGCUCAACUCCAGAACUCCCUUUGAUACUGAAGAUCUUGAGUUCGGGAGAGGUGAGUGGAACUGCGAGUGUAGAGGUGAAAUUCGUAGAUAUUCGCAAGAACACCAGUGGCGAAGGCGGCUCACUGGCCCGAUACUGACGCUGAGGCACGAAAGCGUGGGGAGCAAACAGG